CGUUUUAAGAUUCGAGGCCUAUACGUAGCGUGGCGCGUACUAAAGUUCGGAUUUUUCCGGCGGAACGGUAGGUGCGCGUUACUCUUCCGUCUCCGCUUCAGUUUUUUUCUGUCUUCUUUUAUCUUACUUCUGUGGAGCUUAUCGACGACUAUAAUAUUUUUCUUGGCUCUUUCGGGGAUUUUACGAUAAUGCCAAAUUAACACAAUGAUAUACCGUAAAUAUGAAUUGUAGGAUAGGACCGCAGUGACAGUGAGAUUACCGCAACGAAUUCCCAUGCGUGUUCAAUGACUGACAGAUACGUGGUGCGUGCGAGGCUAGUGAGACUUAAGAAUUUGUGUUCAUUUACUUCGUAAGCGGAGUUUAGUGAAAUAGCUGUUUGACUAUAAAAACAAAGUACAUUUACGUAGUGUCGUAGAAUGACUGAUCCGAAAAUCGAAAUGCAUUACACACCACCAAGCUCGGACACCAUUCAAACAAAACCUUUUCCCAUUCGAGGCGAACGAGCUAAUUUCGUAAAUAAGCCACAUGUGAUCGCGAUGGUUGGACUGCCGGCACGUGGCAAGACUUACAUAUCCAAGAAAUUAUGCAGAUAUUUGAACUGGAUUGGAAUAAAUACGAAAGUUUUCAACUUAGGAGAGUAUAGGCGGCAUGCGACCACCGCGUAUCAGUGCCAUGAGUUUUUCCGUCCUGAUAAUAUAAAAGCAAUGGCGAUACGUACCCAGUGUGCGAUGGAUGCUCUCAAUGAUGUCUGUCAAUGGCUGGAGAGCGGGGACGGCGAGGUAGCCGUUUUCGACGCCACUAAUUCCACCAUAGAAAGGCGUCAGCUAAUAAGAAACAUCGUUGUCGAGAAAAUGGGUUUCAAGCUGUUCUUCGUCGAGUCCGUCUGUAACGACCCGGAAAUCGUUGAACAGAAUAUCAUGGAAGUGAAAGUGAGCAGUCCAGAUUACGCAAAUAUGAACAAGGAAGAAGUACUGGCUGAUUUCAUGUUAAGAAUCGAACACUAUCAAGAGAAGUAUCAGCCACUGGACGAGAAUCAAGAAAGCGAUCUCUCCUUUAUGAAAAUCUACAACACAGGGGAGAAAGUGCUGGUUCACAAGCAUGAGGGUCAUAUACAAAGUAGGAUAGUUUAUUAUCUUAUGAACAUCCAUAUAGUGCCACGUACAAUCUAUUUAACUAGGCACGGCGAAAGCGUGAUGAACCUCGAAGGUAAAAUAGGCGGAGACUCGGAGUUGAGCGAAAGAGGCUGGGAAUAUGCCAAAGCGUUAGCUACCUAUAUUACUAAUCAGGAUAUACAGGGUUUGAGAGUGUGGACCAGCUGGCUGAAGAGGACCAUACAGACAGCAAGCGACGUGAAUGCACCUCAAGAAAGGUGGAAAGCACUAAAUGAGAUUGAUGCGGGUAUCUGUGAAGAAAUGACUUAUGAAGAAAUCUCGGAGAAGUAUCCAACAGACUUUGCUGCUAGGGAUCAAAAUAAAUUUUCAUAUCGUUAUCCAAGAGGAGAGAGUUACGAGGAUUUAGUUGCACGGCUGGAACCGGUGAUCAUGGAGCUAGAACGUCAGGGUAAUGUUCUGGUAGUUACUCACCAAGCGGUUUUGCGAUGUCUACUUGCUUAUUUCCUAGAUAAAAGUGCGGAUGAAUUGCCAUAUUUGCAAGUACCGUUACAUACUAUAAUCAAAUUAACGCCGGUCGCUUAUGGUUGUAAAGUGGAGCACAUUCGAUUACCUAUUGAUGCAGUGGAUACACAUCGACCGAAACCAAAGAGUGCCUGACCAUUAGUGGAUUAGGACCAUUUUCUCGUAUCUAAUCUUGAACUAACGUAUUCUAAAGUUGUCUGCUCUUCCUCCAAUUUUCAAGCUUUGCGAAUUUAAAAACAUAGUGCAUGCAUUUCUUUAUUACAUGAUACGGGUACCAUUUAAGACGUCGUACCAUGCAUGUACUUAUUAUUCGAUAAUAAGGUGGUAAUGAUUUUGUAUAAAUAUGCGUAAUGAUAGAUGUUGAUAGUUUGUUAAUUACGACAAUUAGAGGACACCAUCGUCAGAGGGAAACAAUUGUAAAUACAAUUAUUUACAAUUACUCUUUUAAAUAAAUCGUAUACUGGAUGAUCCCAGGAUAUCUAGAGGAACGAUUCAAAAGGAAAGGAAAUUUACUUCGCACGUGAUAACAACAACGUUUAUAGCACGACAGAGCU
rnacentral:misc_RNA from 1 species